rnacentral:rRNA from 1 species
GACGAACGCUGGCGGCGUGCUUAACACAUGCCAGUCGAACGGAAAGGCCCUGCUUUUGUGGGGUGCUCGAGUGGCGAACGGGUGAGUAACACGUGAGUAACCUGCCCUUGACUUUGGGAUAACUUCAGGAAACUGGGGCUAAUACCGGAUAGGAGCUCCUGCUGCAUGGUGGGGGUUGGAAAGUUUCGGCGGUUGGGGAUGGACUCGCGGCUUAUCAGCUUGUUGGUGGGGUAUUGGCUUACCAAGGCUUUGACGGGUAGCCGGCCUGAGAGGGUGACCGGCCACAUUGGGACUGAGAUACGGCCCAGACUCCAACGGGAGGAAGCAGUGGGGAAUAUUGCAAAAUGGGCGGAAGCCUGAUGCAGCAACGCCGCGUGCGGGAUGACGGCCUUCGGGUUGUAAACCGCUUUCGCCUGUGACGAAGCGUGAGUGACGGUAAUGGGUAAAGAAGCACCGGCUAACUACGUG